UUAUUUUUCUCUUCAGCCUCUCAUAAGUUAAUUGUUUUUGCUCCACAAUCUAAAAGCCGAUCUGAUAACCACGUUGUCGACCAUCGUUAUCGACACCGCCCUUAUCACGUUGCUCCUCUCGUCAGAUGAUCGAAACCCGUCCAGUCGUGUCUCCACCGUCGUCUCCGUUCGGGGGUGAAGGAAGGGAACUUUCGGUUUCUUAGAACCCGAAUAUCAUCUGCAAACCCUCAUCUCGUAAAUAGCAAAUUUGGAAAAUAUGGUUCUAAUGCUGCUGGACCUAGUGCUACCAAACGUGGGAAACAUGUUUAGAGUUAGCGUUACAACUUGCUAGAGAUUCUCGUGACCGAUAGGAUCGUCCUGGCAUUGGAGGAUCGACAAGCAAUAUUUUAUUAUUUUAUAUAGUAUGACCAUU